rnacentral:rRNA from 1 species
UACAGGGGAUGCAAGUGUUAUCCGGAAUUAUUGGGCGUAAAGCGUCUGCAGGUGGACAAAUAAGUCCUUUGUUAAAUCUCUGAGCUCAACUCAGAAUCUGCAAAAGAAACUAUUUGUCUUGAGUAUGGUAGAGGUAAGGGGAAUUUCCAGUGGAGCGGUGAAAUGCGUAGAUAUUGGAAAGAACACCAACAGCGAAGGCACCUUACUGGGCCAGUACUGACACUCAGAGACGAAAGCUAGGGGAGCAAACGGG